rnacentral:lncRNA from 1 species
GGAAAGGAAAAAGUAAAACCGUCUUUAAUCACAGACAUAUGAAUCAUUUAUAAGGAAAACUUUACAGAAUCUACCAAAAAGUUACUAGAACUAAAAGGUGAGUUUAACAGGGUUUUUCGAUAUAGGUCAAUAUAUUUUGGAAAUCAAUUUUGUUUCUAUAUACUGGUAAUGAACAAAUGGAAGUUGAGAUUUGUAAAAAUACUCUUUACAAGAGCACUAAAAAUAUGAAACACUUAAGGAUAAUUAUGACCAAAAUUGUGCAAGACCUGUACACUAAAAAUCACCAGACAUUGCUGAGAGAAAUUAAAAAACAUCCAAAGAAAUGGAGAGAUAUGUGGUGAUUAUGGAUUAAGGGACAAUAUUGGUAAGGCAUCAUUUCCCGAAGGAUCUAUAGAGUCCAUACAAACUCAUUCAAAAUCCCAGCAGGCUUUAUUUGUAUAAAAUUGGAUAAUCAAUUCUGAAAGUCAUACGGAAAUGCAAAGGACCUAAAUUGCUAAAAUCACUGGAAAAGAACCAAGUUGGAGAACUUGCACUACCAGAUUUCAACACUUGUUAUAAAGCUACAGUAAUCAAGACAACAUGGUAUUGGCCAAAGGAUAAGCACAAAGAUCAACAGAACAGAAUGGAGUCCAGAAACAGACCCACACAUAUAUAUGGUCAAUUAAUUUUUUUCCAGCUUUAUAGAGAUAUUAUUGGCAUAUAACAUUGUGUAAGCUUAAGGUGUACAACAUGCUGAUUUGAUACACUUAUAUAUUGCAAAAUGAUUACCACCAUGGCAUUGGCUAACACUCAUCACAUCACAUAAUUACCAUUUCUUUUUUGUGGUGAGAACACUUAAAAUCUACUCUCUUAGCAACUUUCAAAUAUAUAAUACAGUAUUAUUAACUAAAAUCACCAUGCUGUACAUUAGAUCAGCAGAAUUUAUUUAUCUUAUAGCUGAAAGUUUGUCCUCUGUGACCAACAUUUCCCCUGUUCCCCAUGGUCAAUUGAUUUUUGACAACAAUACCAAAGCAAGUCAAAGAAAACGAAAAGAAAGCCAUGGUCUGGGAGAAAAUACUCACAAAACAUAUAUAUGACAAAGGACUUCUAUCUAGAAUACAGAAAGAACUUCUACCACUCAAUAAUAAGAAGGCAAAUAACCCAAUAUAAAUAUUUGAACAAACACUUCACCAAAGAAGAUAUACAGAAAGUAAAUAAGCACGUGAAAAAUUGCUCAAUAUUAUUAGUCACUGAGGACAUGUAAAAUAAACCACACUGAGAUCCCACUACACUCAUACUAGAAUGGCUAAAAUUAAAAAGAUGGAUGACACCAAGUUUUUGUGAAUGUGUGGAGGAAUUAGAACUCUCAUACACUACUGCUAAGAACGUAAUAAGUUACAACCACUUUGGAACACGGUCUGGCAAUUUCUUAAACAUUUAAACAUUUAACUAAUGUACGAUCUAAUUGUUCUAUUUCUAGGUAUGUACCAAGAAGAAAUUGAAACCUAUGUCCAUACAAAGACUCGUACACAUAUGGUCAAAGUAGCUUUAUACACAAUAGCUAAAAAACAGAAACACCUGCAAAGUCUAUUAUCAGAUGGAUAAAUCAAGGAGUGAAAGAUAUGAGACAAAAAGUAUGUAUUCCAUGAAUCCAUUUACAUAAAAUUUUAGAAAAUUACAAGCUAUUCUACAGAGACAGCAGAUCCAAGAGAUGAGAGAAGGGGGGAGGUAUGGAGAUGAGAAAGGCGUUAGAAAGGGGCAUUACAAAGUUUCCAAAAUUUACUCAGAAAAGAUGUUCUUUUUGCCUGGGAAGGCUAAAACCACGUUCAGUCUAGCGGA